UUGACCUCAAAUCAGGUAGGAUUACCCGCUGAACUUAAGCAUAUCAAUAAGCGGAGGAAAAGAAACUAACAAGGAUUCCCCUAGUAACUGCGAGUGAAGCGGGAAAAGCUCAAAUUUGAAAUCUGGCGGUCCUCGACCGUCCGAGUUGUAAUCUAAAGAAGUGUUACCUGUGCUGGACCGUGUACA
rnacentral:rRNA from 1 species